CCCAAGCUGCGUAAGGGAUGGAAGCGGUUAUCCUUUUUGUCUUUGGAUUAAUAUCAAUUUGGAUGGGAAACGUUCUAGACAAAAAGAUAAUAGUGGACAGCCCGACCCGCU
rnacentral:sRNA from 1 species